rnacentral:rRNA from 1 species
UACGUAGGGUGCGAGCGUUGUCCGGAAUUAUUGGGCGUAAAGGGCUCGUAGGCGGUCUGUCGCGUCGGGAGUGAAAACCAGGUGCUUAACACCUGGCUUGCUUUCGAUACGGGCAGACUAGAGGUAUUCAGGGGAGAACGGAACUCCUGGUGUAGCGGUGAAAUGCGCAGAUAUCAGGAGGAACACCGGUGGCGAAGGCGGUUCUCUGGGAAUAUCCUGACGCUGAGGAGCGAAAGCGUGGGGAGCGAACAGG